rnacentral:Y_RNA from 1 species
GGCUGAUCUGAAGGUAGUGAGUUACCUCAACUGACUGUUCACUGUGAGUUACAGCUUAAGCUCCUCAUUCUGUUCUCUCCACCCUUCUCACUGCUGUACUUGACUGGUCUUAA